UGUAUCUUCAAAAUAGGUGUGUUACAUCAGCUGUGGAGGGUAAGACACCAUUUGAAGCCUUCACGGGAAGGAAGCCUGGAAUUAAACACUUAAGGGUGUUUGGGUGUGUAUGUUACACACUCAUUCCAGCAGCACUAAGACAGAAACUGGACAGUAAGGCAGAGAAGGGAGUGUUUAUGGGUUAUGGAAGUUGUGAGAAAGGAUAUCGGGUGUAUAUUCUGGAUUCAAAGAAGAUAGUGCUGUCAAGAAGUGUUGUUUUUUAUGAGAGCAGGUUCUGGAAUUGGACUGAAAAUCACAUGGAAUCAGUCACACAGCAACUAAGGUUUGAAUGCAACAAAGAAGAGAGUGAAGUAGAAGAAACAAAUGUAGAUGUUGCACAGAAUUAUGAUGGCAUUGAUCAGUUAAGCUCACCUGCAAAUGGUUCAGUGACAGAAUCAGUUGAGAAUAUCAGUCAAGGAUCAUCACCUAGUUCAACUCCAGUGAAGUUAAGGAGCAUUGAAGACAUUUAUAAUAGAUGUCACAUGAGCUUCAUUGAACCAGAAAAUUAUCAAGAAGCAGCAAAGAGUAAAGACUGGCAGGAUGCAAUGAGAACUGAAUUAGAGAUGAUAGAGAAGAAUCAUACCUGGGAGCUGAUUGACAGACCUUCUGAUGCGCCUGUGAUAGGUGUGAAAUGGGUCUUCAAGACAAAGCUCAAUCUUGAUGGGUCCAUACACAAGCAUAAGGCUAGACUUGUAGCCAAGGGAUAUGCUCAAAAACCAGGGGUGGAUUACAAUGAGACUUUUGCUCCAGUAGCAAGGUUGGAUACUAUAAGGACUCUCAUUGCGUUGGCAGCUCAAAAGGGUUGGAAAUUAUUCCAACUAGAUGUUAAGUCAGCAUUUCUAAAUGGAAUGCUUGACGAGGAGGUGUAUGUGGAGCAACCCGAGGGGUUUGAAGUGAAGGGGUCCAGCCACAAGGUGUAUAAACUAUACAAGGCUCUAUAUGGACUUAAACAAGCCCCUAGAGCCUGGUAUGGUGAAAUCGAUGCUUAUCUUACAAGUUGCAAAUUUGAAAGGAGUGCAAGUGAAGCAACUUUGUACACCAGAAGUGAUAGUGAAGGAGGCCAGAUCAUUAUCUCAAUAUAUGUUGAUGAUAUAGUGUAUACUGGAAGUAGUGAAAGGAUGAUGACUGAGUUUAAGAGGGAGAUGAUGCAGAGGUAUGAAAUGUCAGACCUAGGGCUUCUUCAUCACUUUCUAGGGAUUGGUGUAUUGCAGACCAAUCAAGGAGUUUUUAUUCACCAAAGUAAGUAUGCUAAGUCUCUACUUACUAAGUUCGGACUUGAGGACUGCAAUCCAGUUGCAAUUCCUCUAACCGUGGGUGAAAAAUUAAAGAAGGAGGAUGGCAGUGAACCUGCAGAUGAAGGGUUGUAUAGAAGGAUAGUG
rnacentral:lncRNA from 1 species